AGUGAACGCUGGCGAUAGGCCUAACACAUGCAAGUCGAACGGCAGCACAGUAAGAGCUUGCUCUUACGGGUGGCGAGUGGCGGACGGGUGAGGAAUACAUCGGAAUCUACUUUUUCGUGGGGGAUAACGUAGGGAAACUUACGCUAAUACCGCAUACGACCUACGGGUGAAAGCAGGGGAUCUUCGGACCUUGCGCGAUUGAAUGAGCCGAUGUCGGAUUAGCUAGUUGGCGGGGUAAAGGCCCACCAAGGCGACGAUCCGUAGCUGGUCUGAGAGGAUGAUCAGCCACACUGGAACUGAGACACGGUCCAGACUCCUACGGGAGGCAGCAGUGGGGAAUAUUGGACAAUGGGCGCAAGCCUGAUCCAGCCAUACCGCGUGGGUGAAGAAGGCCUUCGGGUUGUAAAGCCCUUUUGUUGGGAAAGAAAAGCAGCAGGUUAAUACCCCGCUGUUCUGACGGUACCCAAAGAAUAAGCACCGGCUAACCUCGUG
rnacentral:rRNA from 1 species